ACAUCAUAAUCAUCUCUACUUGCCACCAAUUGUACAUUCCCAAAGAGGAAAUUAUGAUUUCAAGUGAAGACAAUGGAGCAGGAACAGAUGUGCUGCUAAAAGAGAGACAUCCUAUUAUCCUGAAUAUGUACUCCGUAAUGAAAAACAAGGCAAAAGAGAUCAGAAGGGUUAGCAUUUGCUGCGACACAGAGUGAAUUUUUACUCCUGUUGCCUUGAGGACAUUCAUUGGAAACAUCAUGUUGCACUUGAUGGAGAUUCUCCUGAUGAAAAGGUUCAUGAAAAAGAACAAAUUAAUUUUUGGUAACAAUCAAUGGUACCAUCCAAUGCAUUUUCCCGUUUCCUUUACUUUUCAUUCUCUUUCUCAUUGUGCCCUAGCUGCCUGAUUCUCUUCAUGGAGAAAAUACACUGUAAUUUAUUUUAAAGGAACUCCUAAAACUGCCUACUGGUCUUAAUUAUAACAGACCAUGGUUUAUCUGGAAUCCUAAUCUGGCUUUGAAUGCUCAGCAAAGAGCAUCAGAACCAUAGCUCAAGCCACAGAAAAAAAUCAAUCAAGAAGACUUUAUCUGUCCUAUUGUUAAAGAGAAAUGGGACCUCCUGGCUAUGAGAAGACAAAUUGCUAUCCCAGUCAACUUCCUUUUCUGGUCUUUUAAACUAUGUAUUCAUGUAUAUGUAAAUAUAUAAUUUAAGUAUUUAUAUAUAUAAAUAUUUAUAUAUAUGCACACUAA